rnacentral:rRNA from 1 species
UACGGGGGGGGCAAGCGUUGUUCGGAAUUACUGGGCGUAAAGGGCUCGUAGGUGGCCAACUAAGUCAGACGUGAAAUCCCUCGGCUUAACCGGGGAACUGCGUCUGAUACUGGAUGGCUUGAGAUUGGGAGAGGGAUGCGGAAUUCCAGGUGUAGCGGUGAAAUGCGUAGAUAUCUGGAGGAGCACCGGUGGCGAAGGCGGCAUCCUGGACCAACACUGACACUGAGGAGCGAAAGCCAGGGGAGCAAACGGG